rnacentral:rRNA from 1 species
UGGGGAAUUUUGGACAAUGGGCGAAAGCCUGAUCCAGCAAUGCCGCGUGUGUGAAGAAGGCCUUCGGGUUGUAAAGCACUUUUGUCCGGAAAGAAAUCCUUGGCUCUAAUACAGUCGGGGGAUGACGGUACCGGAAGAAUAAGCACCGGCUAACUACGUGCCAGCAGCCGCGGUAAUACGUAGGGUGCAAGCGUUAAUCGGAAUUACUGGGCGUAAAGCGUGCGCAGGCGGUUUGCUAAGACCGAUGUGAAAUCCCCGGGCUCAACCUGGGAACUGCAUUGGUGACUGGCAGGCUAGAGUAUGGCAGAGGGGGGUAGAAUUCCACGUGUAGCAGUGAAAUGCGUAGAGAUGUGGAGGAAUACCGAUGGCGAAGGCAGCCCCCUGGGCCAAUACUGACGCUCAUGCACGAAAGCGUGGGGGAGCAAAACAGGAUUAGAUACCCCUGGUAGUCCACGCCCUAAACGAUGUCAACUAGUUGUUGGGGGAUUCAUUUCCUUAGUAACGUAGCUAACGCGUGAAGUUGACCGCCUGGGGAGUACGGUCGCAAGAUUAAAACUUAAAGGAAUUGACGGGGUCAUAGCUGUUUCCU